GGGAGUGUUAAUUUUAACUCUAAGGUAGUUAAAUCUACUAUCUAAAAUUUGCUGUGUGGUUGUGGCAGUAAUGCACCUUCCAAGUUGAGUUCCUGACAGGCAAUAAAUCAGGAAGAAGAAGAAAGGGAAGAAGAACUGAAAGAGUCAAAGAGCUCAGAUUGUGUUUCUUCUGGACAAGAGUGUCUGCACUUUUGCAUGGUUUCUGCUGGAGAUCAAACUCUUCAGAUCCAUGAUGGAGAACAAAUACACUUCUAGAGAUCAGGAUUUGUUUACAGGAUGCAGUUUAGUUCAUCAGAAGAGAGCAGAAGCAGAGCCCAGCUGUGUGUCUAUGAAGAGUGACUGGUCUAUGGAGCAACCAAUAAAAUUUAAGAGUGAAAACACAGGACCUGCUGUCAGCUCAGUUCAUCAGAAGAGAGCAGAAGCAGAGCCCAGCUGUGUGUCUAUGAAGAGUGACUGGUCUAUGAAUCGACCAAUAACAUUUAGGAGUAAAAUCACUCAACCUGCUAUCAGGUAGAUCAUCUCUACACACACAUGAUUACACUGCAGCAUUUAUAUGAUCCUGUGUUUCUAGAAGAUCAGACAUUAACAAGUAUUAUAUUUACAGGAGACUUUAAAACUAAAUGUCCACACACUCACAUCUGACCAUUAGUGAAGUACUGAAGCAGCAAUAAGUGACUAAAGUAUUAAUACUUAAACUGUUAGAGUUAGUAGAGUGAGUUUACAGGCUUUUACAAUAGUCAGCAAAGGGUUUGUGAUAAAAAGAAAGAUUUUAGACAAGAUUCUGUGAGACAAACACACCACACAGGGUUCAAGGCUAAGGAUUUUUUCCAGUGGCCUGAUUGGGUCAGUGGUUCAGAUUUGUACUUGCCCUGACAAAAUGUUCACUGGCCCCACCCAAUAAAGAAAAAAAAUAGCUAUUUCUUAGUGUCCAAAGCCAAACAUAAUUGUACACUCACACUUUGUUCAGCAUAACUUUUCUUUAAAUACAACUGACAAUUUAAAAAUUAUUUGUUUACAAUUGAUGAAACUAAACUUGAAAAAAAUCGACAUGUAUAUUAUAAGCAAAAAUGUGCACUUUAAUUUUGACAC